GCCCGGGUGGUGGAAUGGCAGACACGCCAGACUUAGGAUCUGGUGCUUUAGGGCAUGAGGGUUCGAGUCCCUCUCCGGGUA
rnacentral:tRNA from 1 species